CCUGUUUAUGUAACUUGAUGAAGUCACCUGAGUUUAGGAGCAGCGUGGAGCUACUGCAUCCAACAAAGCAUCAAGAGACGUCACAACCCUACACAGAGAGCAAGUGACUCAGGCCUGCUGUGUGUAGAAAACUGGUGUGGAGAAAUGUUGUGACGUGAGGAUGGGCCAGAAGACAGCCCCCAGACACUGGUCACACUCAGGGAUGCCUGUGGUCCCUUCUGAGCCAGCAGACAUGAAUUCAAAGGGCAAGUGCUGGGAUAACGCCAUGAGUGGAGGAGCAGGUAUAUUCUUCCUGGACCAGAAGGGAAGCUCACGUUUCAUAUGAGCUGGCACAGAGCUGGAGGAAGCUGCUUCACUGCUGCAACACUGUGAGCCAGUGUGAAUGUAUUGUUCUUCUUAUUAUUAGUACUGUUAUUAUUUGCCAUUCAGCCCAGGCUGGGGCACACGCAACCUGAACUCUCCUCACUGUGGGUGCAGCCAGGCACUACCAGCAAAGCCCUGCAGAAGGCUGUGGGACAGCGUGGCUGCGGGGAAGGGGACUGCAGCCCUUCUUUCUCCCAUAUGUCACAAGCAUGUCAUGAGAUGAUGACAAAAUAAUAACAAGUUGGUGGCUGCUCGAAACUUUUUUUUUUAGCAGCUGUGUUUUUAGAAUAUUCUAAUUAACCAUCCGCUUGCUUUAAUCACUUUAAGAUUUCUGAAAUAGCUGAGAGCUUGCUGUACCUUC
ensembl:lncRNA